AUGACUACCUUGGAUAUGACCAAAAAUAUUGCAUAUAUGCAUAUUUGUCAGGUGAUUUCUAGUGCAAACUAUUCAAUAAUCUAUUUAUGUUAUCCAGAACAAAAAUACUUCACACACUUUUGUGUUUUGUCUAAUUGCAGGUGUAUGGGACAUUUGUACAAUCCACAUAUGAAGAUACGGAAGAAAGAGAUGUUUAUUUGCUGUCCAAAAAGUUCUCUCACGUCACUUUUGGCCCAAGAGAAGAUAGAGUCCAAGUCUCUCACGUUCUGGAUUCAGAUUCGGACUGCACAGACAUACCUGACUCAAAACGCACACAAGUUUUUCAUACGGACUCCGAAUUGGGUGAUUCUUUUUUUUGUUGGAAACUAG
rnacentral:rRNA from 1 species